UACGGAGGAUCCAAGCGUUAUCCGGAUUUAUUGGGUUUAAAGGGUGCGUAGGUGGCCUAUUAAGUCAGGGGUGAAAGACGGUAGCUUAAACUAUCGCAGUGCCUUUGAUACUGAUGGGCUUGAAUACAGUUGAAGUGGGCGGAAUGUGACAAGUAGCGGUGAAAUGCAUAGAUAUGUCACAGAACACCGAUUGCGAAGGCAGCUCACUAAAGUGUGAUGACACUGAGGCACGAAAGCGUGGGGAUCAAACAGG
rnacentral:rRNA from 1 species